CUUCAACUGGGUAGAAGCUGCUUUUGAAACAGUUCAAAACUGUUUGAAGUUUUCCACUUGUAUAGUGGCAAAAAGCACAAUUACUUUUGCACCAACCUAAUUUCAUUUCAUAUGUCUUCUAGAAUCCAGGCUACAAUUUACAAUGGUACAACUUUACAGGCUAGGGAAAGAAUGGGCUGGUCUGUUAUAUCCAAGAGGUGGAGUCAAUGGCAGUGAUAGUUUGUGCCUGGAACAACCAUAGAAACGAUCCAUGAAAAUGCCUUUUAAGUAUGAUUUUUAAUAGCAGCAUAAUAGUCUUUCACUUUGGGGGAGUGAAGGUUGAUGACACACCUGCUAUUGUGCAACAUCUGGAAGCUUUCUGUUGACAGCAGCCUGGUCCACUUAGGCAGAGGAAGUCCCUCUCCCCCAUAGUAUCCUGGAAUAAGGGGAGCCAGUGUGAUUUAAUUCAGGCCCUUCCAAAAUCUUGCUAAGCAAAAACAACUGUCCCUAAGUGUUCAGGAAACAUCAACCCAUCCUUCCCCUAACAUGUUCUUCUUCUGGAUAAAAACAUUUUCAGAGUAUCACAUGCUCCUGAAAAUGUACUUCCUUGUAUGCGAAACCUGCUAACAGUCCCCUUGAGAAGUGUUUGAAUGUGUAAUGAGUGCCCAGGCUCCUGGUGUCAGAUCUGUGAUGGAGAGGAUUCUCUCCCCAAGGCAGCAUUCACUCCAAGAACUUCCACCAGGUGACUCUGGGGAGCAGUUGGUGUUAACUCCAGGCUGCUGUGGUCAGGAAAUCACUUUGCAUAAGAACUCAAUCCUCUUUUUCCUCAAGGCCCCUAUUCUGUAAUAUAAAAUUGGGUCUCUUUUAGGCUGGUCAGAAUCUGCUUUCCUUCCCCUUCCAUAGAACCUGCCUCUAAGGGAUUCCAAAUCUAUCUUUAUGGGCUACACCAUUUCGUGGGGGACACAGAUGUGUAAUUAAGUCAUGAUGAUACAGUUUGAAAAGUACCAACUAUAAGACUAAUCAAAAUGAUAGAGAAUCUUAGGAGAAGGAGGAGAAAAAUUUGCCCAGGAAAUCUAGAAAACUUAGGAAUAGAGGAAGCAGUCAAAUUCAGUCUUGAAGAACAGGAGUUUGUCAAGAGGCAGACCAUGAGGUCAGGAGAUUGAGACCAUCCUGGCUAACAAGGUGAAACCCUGUCUCUACUAAAAAUAAAAAAUAAAAAAUAAAAAAAUUAGCUGGGCAUGGUGGCAC
rnacentral:lncRNA from 1 species